CUGGAAUCGCUAGUAAUCGUAGAUCAGCAUGCUACGGUGAAUACGUUCCCGGGUCUUGUACACACCGCCCGUCACACCACGAGAGUUUGUAACACCCGAAGCCGGUGGAGUAACCUUUUAGGAGCUAGCCGUCGAAGGUGGGACAAAUGAUUGGGGUGAAGUCGUAACAAGGUAGCCGUAUCGGAAGGUGCGGCUGGAUCACCUCCUUU
rnacentral:rRNA from 1 species